UACGUAGGGGGCAAGCGUUGUCCGGAUUUAUUGGGCGUAAAGAGCUCGUAGGCGGUUCCGUAAGUCGUGAAGUCAAAUCUCUGGGCUCAACCCAGAAUCGCUUCCGAUACUGCGGUGACUGGAGUCCGGUAGGGGAGUGUGGAAUUCCUGGUGUAGCGGUGAAAUGCGCAGAUAUCAGGAGGAACACCAACAGCGAAGGCAGCACUCUGGGCCGGUACUGACGCUGAGGAGCGAAAGCGUGGGGAGCGAACAGG
rnacentral:rRNA from 2 species